GAUGAGCGCUGGCGGCGUGCCUAAUACAUGCAAGUCGAGCGAACAGAUGAGGAGCUUGCUCCUCUGACGUUAGCGGCGGACGGGUGAGUAACACGUGGAUAACCUACCUAUAAGACUGGGAUAACUUCGGGAAACCGGAGCUAAUACCGGAUAAUAUAUUGAACCGCAUGGUUCAAUAGUGAAAGACGGUUUUGCUGUCACUUAUAGAUGGAUCCGCGCCGCAUUAGCUAGUUGGUAAGGUAACGGCUUACCAAGGCAACGAUGCGUAGCCGACCUGAGAGGGUGAUCGGCCACACUGAACUGAGACACGGUCCAGACUCCUACGGGAGGCAGCAGUAGGGAAUCUUCCGCAGUGGGCGAAAGCCUGACGGAGCAACGCCGCGUGAGUGAUGAAGGUCUUCGGAUCGUAAAACUCUGUUAUUAGGGAAGAACAAAUGUGUAAGUAACUAUGCACGUCUUGACGGUACCUAAUCAGAAAGCCACGGCUAACUACGUG
rnacentral:rRNA from 1 species